GUGUGUUAGAGUUGUGGUUUUUUUCCUGCUUUCUAUGCAGUAUUUCAGAGCAGUAAUAGACUCUGCAAGUGCAUGAAAAUGCCAGCACUGAGCACUUGGGUUUCUGACUGGGAGGAUGUAUGUUGUUCUUUGCUGGAUCCACAGGAACGCUAACCUUGUAUCCUUCAGUCACAAGGGGGAGAAGCAAAAGGCUUGAGCACGCUUUUUGUAAAGCCAAUUCAGUUUGAAAUCAAAGAUGGGAUCGAUCUGAGGCCCAGGAACACAAGGAGUGCCCCGAGGCAGGACACGAGCUGCUGUGUGGCCCAGGGCACUUCCAGCCUUCUGAUAGCAGGUCAGAACCUCCACGCACAGCCCCAGCUCGAGGCAUCCAGAAGUGAACAGAGGGGGCCCUGGGGUGUUAUUUUCAAUGAGAUAUCUGAGCACAUCAGAACAGGGAGAGCAGUGGCUGGCUGGGGCUCAGCCUGUGCUGGGAGUGAUUUCUGCUGCUGGGGAGCACACUGCAUCCGUGUUCUCUGUGAGCUCAUUGCUGUGUGCGUGCUUAGGACCUAUUUUUUUAAUUCAGCAAGUGGAACGGCCUGCUGCUGAAGUUUCCCUUUCCCCCUCCUAUCUGUCAGCUGUGCUGCUCAUGGGAUAUUCCCCCAUCUCUGGCAGUGUGAUAACAAGCACAGCCUUACUCCUGAGAGCCAAAGGGGCUGUGGAAGCAGAGAGCAUCUCAGCUGGUGGGAUGGAGAGGAGGUGAACCUCUGGGAGGUCACCCCCUGCCCCCUCAGCUGUGUGGCAGGGAUGCACACCCAGGGGAGGUGGCAGUGGCAGACGCAGGGAGCCAACUGGGGUCUCUUUGUUCCCUGGCUAGAAGCCUAAUCCCUGCACUCUGCUGCUGCCCUUUGUGAAAUGCCUUGAGAUGCUCAGAUGGAGGGCAUUACUGAUACGGGAAGAGCAGGCAAAUGCUAAUGGAAGAGGCUGUUAGCAGCACUGGCUGCAGCUUGGGAAACGUCCUCCAGGGGAAACGCACUUAGCCUGCACUUCUGAGCUGCACCCGGGGUUUGUGCUGUAAUUCAGCCCCUGGAAGAGCAGUGCUCGAGCUGCACACUGCUGCCUGCAUGCUGCGGGGAGCUGGGCUGGGUUGGGUAGGCGAUGCUGUGAGGUUGCUUCCUUCCCAUUCUACCAGUGUUCUUUUCCUCCAGGCUUCAAUUUGACUUCUCUGUCAAUGCUUCGUGCUCCCAUGCUGCUUGCUGUACUGCCUGCAGCCAGCCCUCCAGGGGCAGGCAGUGAUUUCACUCCGCUUAAGCGUCAGCUCAGAGCUCCAUUGAUUUUGAUUUUAAUUUUUUACCACUGCUUUUAGACCACGUUUUCACCCAACCUUCCCAUCCCCAUCCCAAAGCAAACCCUCCCUGUGCGUUUCGGUUUUGGCUGGCACAUCGUGUCCUCGGGGAGGAUGGAGGCAGAUUGCUGGCUGUGGGAUGGAGCUUCCAAUAACAGGACUGUGCAAGAGGUGAAAUCCUUCCACGUUUGUGUGGCUGUGCAGUGCCCCAACUCAGCCCCUUGCAGCAGGGCUCGCUGCUUUCAAGUGCAGAGGAGCAGAUGGGAGCAACCCAGCACGCAGCACUGGAGCUGGGUGCAGGAGGGAGCGGUGCCAGGAAUGCCCUGAUCUGCACAGCAGCAGCUCGGGAAGGCUGGAGAAAUAAUGCAGCCCUUCCUAGAAACGCACUCCAGAGCUUAAGAGCAGACCUAAUUGAAAAGAAAAAAAAUGUACAGAGGGGAUAAAAGGGCAAGCUGGGCUCAGAUUAACCUGGAGCUCAGCGAGCUGGGAAGCGGUGGCCAGGUCUCAAAGCCAAUUCCCAGCCCAGGCCCUGUGCUACCUGCUGAAGCCAUGCCCAGCAGGGCAGCAGAUCGCUCUGGAUGUGGUUCUGGCAGCAGAGCCCAGCCCUGUGCUUAAGGUACGUGCUCGCUUUCUGCUUCCCUUUCUGCUCUCUGCAACAGCAGCCGUGCUGCUUCCUGCCUCUCUGCCCAGGCCUGCUGCUGUUACCCCAGGGGAUUUUCUUUGGGAUGCUUUCUCCUUUUCCAAAAUGAGCCCGGCUGGUGGCUGAACCAAAGGGAACACUGUAAACGUGCCCAGGGCUGUUUGCCCCCACCAGCCUGUGGGGAAGGCUGCAGAAAGGUGUCUCUGUGCCUUUCAGGUGUCACCGGCCCAGCUGGAGAAGUGCUCAGCCCGCAGAGCUAACCACAGUUAUUUUAGCUCGCUGCUGUUGCUGUUCACCUCCCAGCUGCAGCAAGGCAGCUCUGUCAGCUGCUCGCAAGGUCCUGUUUCAGCAACAAACACAACUGCUGCUCCUGCCCCGGUUCAAUCCAGGACUCUGGAGUUUGGGGCUUUUUGUCCCCUCCAAACAGCAGCAAGAAGGACUUCAAGAGGCAUUAAAUAGCAAACGGAGGGGAUUUUGCUGUUCAGACCGAAUUGGUGCUGCUGAGUCUGGUGAGGGCAGGGGACCCCCAGGGAUGCUGUGUGCAUUGAGUGCCCUCUGCAUCUUGGACUCUGCUGCUGGCCAGGCAGAAAAGUGCAUGCCCCAUUCAUCUGUCUGUUUUUUGGGCCUCGGCCUCCAGGUGCUUCCUGAGCUCUGUCCUCUGCUCGGUUCGAGGCUUUCCCUUGGCUCCUGCCUGCAGCCAGGAAGGCUGUGAGGAGGGAUUCCCUGGAUGUGACGCUGCCCUGGAUGUGAAUCUCUGCUUUUCAGCUCUCUGAAGGGAGCAUCUCCUCUCAUCACUGCAAAGGAGUCGGAUAUGCAAAAACCUCUGGCUGCUUUUAAUGCAGGCGAAGGCAGACACUGUUCACCUCAGGGUGAAAGCUGGAGCUGUCAUCCUCAGAGCAGCAAGAGCCCCCCUGCGUGGUCCUGCCCCUAGGCUGCUUUUUUAGGUGGGCAGAUGAGACCCCGUGGGAAACACAGACCCUUUCUGGCCCCAAAAACUGGAGCAGGAGCAUCACCACUUUCUGGGUAUGGACCUCAGCAUCAGCACCCACACACCAACCCCGUGCUUUUGGGAUGUUUAGGUGCCCUUCCUGCCAUAGGGGAUGCUCAGGUUCCAGGGGCUCCAGCUCUCUCUCAGCACCAGGCUGGGCUGUGCGGGGUGAGAGAAAAGCACCGCUCCCCAUCACCCACCCACAGCCUUGGCAGGGCUCGGAUGGGACCAGAAGGGGGGGAGAGCAGGGAGGGAAGGAUGGGAGGAGCCGGGACUUCACCAACCCGAUUAACCAGGUUAGAAACCAACCUUGCAAAACCCACAACACGGAUGGGAGCAGGGCUGGAAAUCCCCCUCUCAGCUCACAGUGGGAGCUGGGAUGCAAGGCACGUUUGGCGGGCACGGCGACGGGUAAGUGGCAUCCCCUUCUACGUGGCCAGGGCUGAGUUUUUGUUGUCCCAUUCCCCCUUUCCAACCCACCUGCUGGGACCUGGCCGUGUUCUGGGUAUCCCCUCCGGGCACAUCACGGAGCUUUUUCCACGCGUGCAGCGCUGAUGCUGCGUUGGUGACUCCUGCAAUGAGUGUCUGUGGGUUUCUGGAGCGUGAACUCAUCGGCGAUGCAAACAUCUCUCUGACACGGAAACGAAGUUGAAGCUCCAGCACCAGCCAGCAAAAUGGUGAUGGGGGAAUCGCUCUGCCUGAGCUUCUCCCGGCUGUGUGAGCGCGUUCAGCCCUGGGGAAGGGGCUCAGGGAGGGAGGUGCUGCUCAGCUCCCUGCAGGCCCUGUGAGGUGAGAGCAGGGAUGAGGCACCAGCCCUCUUCCCAUCAGCUGUGGGCAGGAGGGAUACAAAUUCCUCAGUGAGGGGAUGUCACCCAGGGCAACUCAAAAGAAGUGUGAAACGCUGCAGUGUGUCCUGCAGCUCUGAAACGUCAACCUCUGUCCCUGAGGUUUUACCCACCCUGAUCCCUUUCAUAUCCCGUUUGGAAAAUGCCCCUCUCGUACCAGCUGCCUCUAGGAAUUCUCCACCUGCAUUUCUCCAAAAGCUCUUGGCACACCACAGGAACCCAGAGGGAUGCUCCCAGUCCCAGACAUCCCCAUCCUCCUGCAGGUUUGGCUAUUUCUGCUCCCAGGUGCCACCCCAGGAUGGGAGAUGCUGCGAGGUCAGACAGGUGCCUCCUAUAUUUCGUGCCCAUGGGCUUGGGCUCCUCUUUGCAAGCAUUGGUUGCUUGCACCAACCCCCAUCCUGCCCUGCUUGCAUCCUCCUCACCCAAACGCAUUUGCAGCGCAGCCCCAGCAGCAGGGACGCAGGUUCCCAGCACAGGCUGCAAUGCUGGGGUGCUGAACUCUUUCUCCACCCUCCCAAAAAGUUCCUCCCCAAACUCAGCGGCUGGGAUUGAGUCACCGAAACGCUGUGACAUCAGCCCGUGGUUUUUCUGCAUUGCUUCCUGUUGUGCCCAGGCAGCUCGCUCGGGUGCAUAUAUAUAUAUAUAUGUGUGUAUGUCUAUGUAUUUAUAUAUAAACUCAUAGGUGCAUGCUUUUAGCCAGCCAUCAAGUCCUCUCCCGUUCCUCCUGCUCGAAGCAUUACCGGCGUCGCUUCCCGUCGCUGCGCUCCCCACAGCCCUCAUCUCUCUCUUUAUGCAGUGAGCAGUGCUGGAGAGCCAGGAGCAGCGGCGAGGCCCCGAGAAGAGGAUGAGAACAUGGGGCUCAAGUUAUCCUGUCUGAAAGGUUUGAAGAUGUGUGUGAGCAGCGGCAAUGGCAGCACCGGGACCCCAGAGCCGGAUGGGAAGCACCUCCACGUGCCCUCCAUCAUCGUCACACCACCCACACCCACAGGGACCAUGUUGUGCAGGGACACACGGAGGGCGACGGGGGGGACGUCACCACCCUGCAGCCAGUGCUGAGCACCCAGAGGGGACACCGACAGCUUCAGUACUGCUCCAGGGCUGAAUCCUGCCCUGCUGGGGGUGAUGCUUCCUGGUGUGCUGCUUCGCUGGAGAGCCCCAGGAGAAGACGGCGUGCAAAAGCAGAUGGAAAUUUAAUUUUUUAAUGACAGCAGCAGAUGGCAAAAGACACAAAAGUGUAUUCACACCAUGUCAGAGCCAUUUAUAAAGUGCCUGGCGGAGCUGCA